GAUGAAGAACGCAGCGAAAUGCGAUAAGUAGUGUGAAUUGCAGAAUUCCGUGAAUCAUCGAAUCUUUGAACGCACAUUGCGCCUUCUGGUAUUCCGGAAGGCAUGCCUGUUCGAGAGUCAUUAACAACCGUUUCGAUCCCUUUCUUUCAGAAAUUACAAAGAGGAAAAGGGUUUGGUUAUGGUGGAGGAGGGAAAGGGAGCGUUUAGCCUGUAAAAAAAGAGGCUGUGUUCCGCCUCCCCCCCAAAAUUGUACAGGCGGUCGUGUGCGCCCACGCAUCGAGGUGUUGUAAAAGCUGCCACGGCACUUUUCACCUGUGCAGUGCGAGAUUGGCCAGCCGGUUUAAAAACCCCUCCAAACAAUCAAAGGUUGACCUCGGAUCUGGUAGGGAUACCCGCUGAACUUAAGCAUAUCAAUAAGCGGAGGA
rnacentral:misc_RNA from 1 species